rnacentral:rRNA from 1 species
UACGUAGGGUGCGAGCGUUGUCCGGAAUUAUUGGGCGUAAAGAGCUUGUAGGCGGUCUGUCGCGUCGGAUGUGAAAACCCAGGGCUCAACCCUGGGCCUGCAUUCGAUACGGGCAGACUAGAGUCCGGUAGGGGAGCGUGGAAUUCCUGGUGUAGCGGUGAAAUGCGCAGAUAUCAGGAGGAACACCAGCGGCGAAGGCGGCGCUCUGGGCCGGAACUGACGCUGAGGAGCGAAAGCGUGGGGAGCAAACAGG